UCUUUGCAGCCUUGUGAGACUGCCCCUCGCACAAACUAUUGCCUGUGGGUACAGCAAGGCUGCGGAAAGCAACCCAAAGAAUGAAAAGGCGUGACUUCUGGAGCAACAGGAGCUUCACGUGCGAUGUUCUUUGGACAGGAUCCUGCUUUCCACGGAGGUGGUGCCCCAUUUUCCGUGGCUAUCACCUUUCUUGAGGCAGGUAGAGAAAAAAACCUUGCAGCUGGAUAUUGUUUGCAGCAGGAGAAGCUCUUCCUGCCGGGCACUAUCAGCUGUCACAGUA